rnacentral:rRNA from 1 species
AUUGAACGCUGGCGGCAGGCUUAACACAUGCAAGUCGAGCGGGGUGAUGGUGCUUGCACUAUCACUUAGCGGCGGACGGGUGAGUAAUGCUUAGGAAUCUGCCUAUUAGUGGGGGACAACAUCUCGAAAGGGAUGCUAAUACCGCAUACGUCCUACGGGAGAAAGCAGGGGAUCACUUGUGACCUUGCGCUAAUAGAUGAGCCUAAGUCGGAUUAGCUAGUUGGUGGGGUAAAGGCCUACCAAGGCGACGAUCUGUAGCGGGUCUGAGAGGAUGAACCGCCAAACUGGGAAUGUUACACGGCCCAGACUCCUCCGGGGGGCAGCAGUGGGGAAGAUUGGACAAUGGGGGGAUCCCUAAUCCAGCCAUGCCUCGUGGGUGCAGAAGGCCUUAUGGUUGUAAAGCACUUUAAGCGAGGAGGAGGCUCUUUUGGUUAAUCCCCAAGAUGAGUGUACGUUACUCGCAGAAUAAGCACCGGCUAACUCUGUGCCAGCCGCCGCCGUAA